CCUACGGGAGGCAGCAGUGGGGGAUAUUGGACAAUGGGGGGAACCCUGAUCCAGCGACGCCGCGUGAGUGAAGAAGUAUCUCGGUAUGUAAAGCUCUAUCAGCAGGGAAGAAGAAAUGACGGUACCUGAGUAAGAAGCCCCGGCUAACCACGUGCCAGUAGCCGCGGUAAUACGUAGGGGGCAAGGGUUAUCCGGAAUUACUGGGUGUAAAGGGAGCGUAGACGGUGAUGUAAGUCUGGAGGGAAAGGGGGGGGCCCAAACCCCGGACUGCUCUGGAAACUAUGUGACUGGAGUGCAGGAGAGGUGAGCGGAAUUCGUAGUGUAGCGGUGAAAUGCGUAGAUAUUAGGAGGAACACCAGUGGCGAAGGCAGCUCACUGGACUGUAACUGACGUUGAGGCACGAAAGCGUGGGGAGCGAACAGGAUUAGAUACCCCUGUAGUC
rnacentral:rRNA from 1 species